rnacentral:rRNA from 1 species
AACGAACGCUGGCGGCAUGCCUAACACAUGCAAGUCGAACGCCCGUAGCAAUACGGGAGUGGCAGACGGGUGCAUAACACGUGGGAACCUACCCUAGGGUUCGGAAUAACCGCGGGAAACUGCGGCUAAUACCGGAUACGUCCUCUGGGAGAAAGAUUUAUCGCCCUUGGAGGGGCCCGCGUCGGAUUAGCUAGUUGGUGAGGUAACGGCUCACCAAGGCGACGAUCCGUAGCUGAUCUGAGAGGAUGAUCAGCCACACUGGAACUGAGACACGGUCCAGACUCCUACGGGAGGCGGCAGUGGGGAAUAUUGGACAAUGGGCGCAAGCCUGAUCCAGCAAUGCCGCGUGGGUGAUGAAGGCCUUCGGGUUGUAAAGCCCUUUUGGCAGGGACGAUGAUGACGGUACCUGCAGAAUAAGCCCCGGCUAACUUCGUGCCAGCAGCCGCCGUAA